CAGCCGCCGCGGUAAUACGUAGGUGGCGAGCGUUGUCCGGAAUUACUGGGUGUAAAGGGCGUGUAGGCGGGAAUGCAAGUCAGAUGUGAAAUACCGAGGCUUAACUUCGGGGCUGCAUCUGAAACUGUGUUUCUUGAGUGUCGGAGAGGAAAGUGGAAUUCCUAGUGUAGCGGUGAAAUGCGUAGAUAUUAGGAGGAACACCAGUGGCGAAGGCGACUUUCUGGACGAUAACUGACGCUGAGGCGCGAAAGCGUGGGGAGCAAACAGGAUUAGAUACCCUGGUAGUCCACGCCGUAAACGAUGGAUACUAGGUGUAGGAGGUAUCGACCCCUCCUGUGCCGGCGUUAACACAAUAAGUAUCCCACCUGGGGAGUACGACCGCAAGGUUGAAACUCAAAGGAAUUGACGGGGGCCCGCACAAGCAGUGGAGUAUGUGGUUUAAUUCGAAGCAACGCGAAGAACCUUACCAGGGCUUGACAUACAGUGGAAUAUGCUAGAGAUAGUAUAGCUCUUCGGAGCCGCUGUACAGGAGGUGCAUGGCC
rnacentral:rRNA from 1 species